GAAUUGAACUCAGGACCUCUGGAAA
rnacentral:piRNA from 2 species